rnacentral:lncRNA from 1 species
CUCUGGUUUAAUAUUCUCAGAACUCUGACAGAUCCUCAGAUCUGUCCUAUUUCAUUGUGCCCCACUGUGACCAGGGGUUCUGUGACCUCCCCUGUCUUCUUUCCUGGCUUCUUUGAGGGUUAACUGGGACGGUAUAAGAAAAAAAGGACAAAUAUAUUGAGUAUCUUUGUGUUUUUAAAAAUAUUGGCCCACAGGAUCCCAUUAACUGAAGAAUCAUUUUACUGUUGAAGAAAACAGGGCUCAGAGAAAUUAAUUCAGCUGCCCAAGUUCACACAGCUAAUAAGUGGUCUAGUUCCAAAGCUCAUGCAGUUAACUAUUACAUUUAAAAGCUGCUUGAGUCUGCUAAAUCUCUGUUUGUUUCAAAUGAACAGUUUCUUCCUGCCCUGUGUAGUCAUCAUUAAUCCUUCAGGGCAGCUGAGAAGUAUCUUAAUCAGAGCCUCUGACCUUGUCAUUCAUUCUUCUUCUUACUUUUCAUUUAACUAUAGUCACCCUAAGGAAUGGAACUGUAACUGCUUUCGACUUCAGAGGAGCAGGCCCAGCCAAAGAACUUACCUCAAAGUUCUCACAGAACCCUGGUGCUCCCUGGAGUUGGUAGUUAAAGAACAUCCUUCGUUGGUGCCCGGCAGGCAUAAUGCAACUUUCUUCUCCCUGAUCAUCUCCCAGAAAAUAAGACCUGCACAGUUAGAACACUACAGAGAAUGGAUGUAAAGCUCAGGUAUGCCUUAAGAGUUCAUCUAUAUAUUAAAUAUAACAUCCUCUCAGAUUAGCAAAAUUUUAGCCCAUUAGAAAGGGAAAGGACGUUAAACUUUUUAGAAAACUC